GGGAUUGUAGCUCAGUGGUAGAGCACCUACCUCACACUUGUGAGGCCCUAAGUUCAAUCCUUGGCACCA
rnacentral:tRNA from 1 species